UCUCAGGGCAUCCGGGUGGCUCAGGCCCUUGUGCGUCUGUCUGACUUGAUUUUGGUUCAAGUCACAAUCCCAGAGUUGUGGAUGGAGCCCCGGGCUCCAAGGUGGCAUUUCACGUGACCUUCACACACCUGUCUGUGGAAAUACUGUCCUCAUCUCCGCCUGCAGGCGGGGGAGACACCAGUGACGAGGGUCACAGGCCCUGGUGUCCUGACGGCACCACCAGCCCGCCUCUGGGGGCCCUCGGAUGCAGUGGAGGAGGCCCCUGAAAGGGACUGGUGGGACAGGACUGGCCCUGAGGUCCUGUGGGUUCUGAGGUGAGAGCAGGGCGGCGGGCGGGACCUCAAGGGCCCCCAGAAGCCCUGUGCAAGGAGCCUCGGGACAGAAAUUUGCGGCACAGAGAGCAGGACCCUGGGGGCCACCAGCUGCUGCUCGGACGUGGGCAUGUCCACGGUGACAGCCCUCCUAGAGCCCAGGACUGGCAAAGGUGCAUCGAUGAGAGGCAGGGCAUGUGGCCUUGACGUAGGGGCUGCGUCCCUUGCAGGGUCACGGAGGCGGGGCUCGGCCAGGUGGUGUGGCCCCAGAGCCUUCCUGAGGGACCGGCCGCUCAGAAUACUGACAGUCUCAGUGAUGCCCCAGCCAGGGUGAGCCCCCCUCUCCCCAGAGCCGCUUCACUGAUGGUUCCCUGUGGCAAUGACACUGCUCCUUGGACUUCCUAUCUCUCCUUCCUGCCCUAGACGGCGGCCGGCCCGUCAGUAGACGUCCAUUUCACUCCACAUCCCUCUGGAGCCCGGGGCUUCCUGACCUGUCCGGAUGCCAUGAAGCCUGCUGGCAGCCUUGGGAAGCCUUCGACGAUGCCCUCCUUGGACGGAUACAUGCACAUAUCGGUGCAUAAGUAAAAUGUACAUGGGGACAAGAAGCAGAAUUAGGUUAACAUACUUAUAAAAUAUAUUUUGAUUGUGA